UACGGCCAUAUCACGUUCAAACACCGGUUUCCGUACAAUCACCGAAGUUAAGCAGCUUCUAGCCUGAUCAGUACUUAGAUGGGUGACCGCUUG